UUGACUGCUAAAGAAUACUGGUAUUUGAAGUGAUCGUACUGCUGUAGAAGUAUCAAAGUGAUAAAAGAUACAAGGGUUUAUUUAUUUAUUUAUGUGUUGUAGGCUGUAACUCGAGUGAAGCCAUACAUCUGCACCAUGCCACUGAGGAUGGAUGAGGGCUGGAAUCAAAUCCAGUUUAAUCUAUCCGAUUUUACCAGGAGAGCCUAUGGAACAAACUAUGUGGAGACAUUGCGAGUUCAGGUUCAUGCGAAUUGCCGCCUGAGGAGGAUAUAUUUCUCUGACCGCUUGUACUCCAAAGAGGAACUUCCGCCUGAGUUUAAGUUGUACCUUCCAAUGCAGAAAGCAUGACAUGAAGCAACAAAGGAGGGAUCAAACCCAUUGGAGCUGGAUUUUGAGUGUUCAGAUGGCAAUCUUUGCUAGUGCCAGUUUUAUAUAAAUUAGAAAGAAAAAAUAACACCAUCAGUUGUACUAGGGCAUGUUUGUAUGUCUGUCAUACAUAGUAAAAAUAUUUACGAACUCUAUUUGUGGAGACUGGAGAGCUAGUGUCGGGAUCA